rnacentral:lncRNA from 1 species
CUUCCUGGCACAUUCCCAGAGGAUGUGGCAGCUUAUCAGACCUUUGUUACCAUCUAUGAUAGCACUUCAUAGACUAAUAGCCUCUCAAAGCCCGGAAGCUGAACAGCAGGAAGAAGGCCUCUUCAUUCCUGUUUAGAAGAGAAGGAUCUUGUUGCUUGACUUUUCUUGACUAUUGUCUGGCUUUCAUUGAAAGCUUUGGAAGUUCUACCCUAUGUCCGGCGUCCCAGGUCUUGAUGAACAAAAAGGAGUCAGCACCUAAGUUAAUCUUCCUUCUUCAUUUCCAACCACAGCUCAAGGGUUUUGCUGUCUGUCUUUGGAAAUGACUCAACUAACAGAUGGGGGUGGAAAUCUGCACCACGAAAUUAAUUACGCCGCGUCUUCAGGCUUUGUCCUCUCAUUUACUGAAUCGUGUUUAAUUAACAACUCAAGACUGCACCUCCUUGCAGAUGAGUUUGCAUUUCAUGAGAUCAUAAAAUUAAAGAAAAAGUCUGCCAAGCUCACUGCUUGUUAUAGUCCUUGUCCCCGGCCUGACCCUGAUUAC